AAACUUUCAACAACGGAUCUCUUGGUUCUGGCAUCGAUGAAGAACGCAGCGAAAUGCGAUAAGUAAUGUGAAUUGCAGAAUUCAGUGAAUCAUCGAAUCUUUGAACGCACAUUGCGCCCGCAAGCAUUCUGGCGGGCAUGCCUGUUCGAGCGUCAUU
rnacentral:rRNA from 1 species